rnacentral:rRNA from 1 species
GAUGGGGGGCAAGUGUUCUUCGGAAUGACUGGGUGUAAAGGGCACGUAGGCGGUGAAUCGGGUUGAAAGUGAAAGUCGCCAAAAAGUGGCGGAAUGCUCUAGAAAUCAAUUCACUUGAGUGAGACAGAGGAGAGUGGAAUUUCGUGUGUAGGGGUGAAAUCCGUAGAUCUACGAAGGAACGCCAAAAGCGAAGGCAGCUCUCUGGGUCCCUACCGAUGCUGGGGUGCGAAAGGAUGGGGAGCGAACAUG